CCUCUCUCAAAUAUUCUCUCUCUAGAAGGUGGAAGAAGAAGAAGGAGAUUGAAGCAAGGUCAAGAUCAAGUCUCCCAAUCUUCAAGCUUUUGUGGGCAUUGUGACUAAGGGUCCGGCGACAUUGAUUCUCACACUCUUGGCUAGCUUUGUUGUUGAUCAAGAAAGUGAAGUUUUGGUGAGUCCUCAUUGUGCUCGAGGAGGUGAUCACCACUUUCUUUUAUGCUUUCCCUUUAUGUCUUGGACUAUUGUAUGGACUGUGACCCAAGACAUUAUUCAUGUUGUUUAGAUGGUUUGAGACAAAUAUGUUAGACUUAUGCUCGUUUUAUGAAAGAAGUUGAUUGCAUUGAAA